rnacentral:rRNA from 1 species
UGCCAGCCGCCGCGGUAAUACGGAGGGUGCGAGCGUUAAUCAGAAUUACUGGGCGUAAAGCGCGCGUAGGCGGUUUGGUAAGUCGGAUGUGAAAGCCCUGGGCUCAACCUGGGAAUUGCAUUCGAUACUGCCAGACUAGAGUCUGGGAGAGGGAUGCGGAAUUCCGGGUGUAGCGGUGAAAUUCGUAGAUAUUUGGGGGAACACCAGUGGCGAAGGCGGCUCACUGGCUCGAUACUGACGCUGAGGUACGAAAGUGUGGGGAGCAAACAGGAUUAGAUA